UCUCUCUUUCUCUUGGAAAGGAUUGGCCUUACUCUUGCUAAGGGUGUAUAUAUCAUAUCUCUUCAAUUGUUUCUCAAUUUAUUUUUUGCACUUGCUCCUUUGAUCAAUUAUUUAGCUACAUAUAUUAGAGUCAUGAUAUGAUGGCCAUUUUCAGGUGAACACAUUCAGUAUUAUUUUAGAUAGUAUACAAUACCAAAUAAUGUAUUGAAAUUUGAUAUUCUGAACUGAAUUCGUCAGAUUGUAAAUCAGCAUGAAGCUACAAGUAGCAACAUUGUCAGGCACAAGGAGUUUAAUCUUCAAACACUUGGAAUUGGUGGCUUAGGUGCUGAGUUUGCAGAUAUAUUUCGAAGAGCUUUUGCAUCCCAUGUUUUACCUCCUCACGUGACAAAUAAAUUGUUAAUGGCCCUAAAGUUUUGAGCAGGUUGGUGAAAAUAAGAAAAAUGGUAGGAAUCUAUUUGCUGAUGUUGAGAAUGAUCAAAGGGCUUGCGGUAAGGGAAAUAUAUACAUGUCAAGUGCACUUAGGCUUGUUUUUCAAUAAUUUCUAAUCUCAUUAUGUCCUUAAUUCCCUUGGAGACCAGAGUGGUUUGCAUGCGAUCAUCUUUGAUGAAAUGGAUGCUAUUUGUAAGGUAUAAAUAUUUCCUAGUCUAUGCUUUUUACUAAGAUUCUUAUUCAGUUAUGAUUUAUUGUCAAUUCAGAAAAAGUUGUGGGACUCUCAGUUUAAGCAAGAAGGGAAUGUGGUUUAAGUGAGCUUCAUUGCACGAAGAACUUGGGUCCAUCAGCUGCAGUGUUGUGGGGGAGGAUAGGAUUCUAAAGGACUUGGUUGUGAAUAACUGAAAUACAUGUAUAUUGUGGGAUUUGUUGUAAAUAACUGAAGUACGGUAUAUUGUGGGAUUUGUUGAUUUAAAAGAAAAUUCAAAUUUUCUACAUUAA